GGAUGAACGCUAGCGGUGUGCUUAAAGCAUGCAAGUCGAACGUGAUCCUUGGAUUCGUUCAAGGUGAAAGUGGCGAACGGGUGAGUAACACGUUGGUGAUCUGCCCCGGAGUGGGGGAUAACUAUCGGAAACGAUAGCUAAUACCCCAGAUGUUAUCGUGUUUGGAAAGCGAUAACUAAAGUUCAGGCGCUCCGGGAGGAGCCUGCGUCCCAUCAGCUAGUUGGUAGGGUAAUGGCCUACCAAGGCAAAGACGGGUAGGGGGCGUGAGAGCGUGGCCCCCCACACUGGUACUGACACACGGACCAGAUGCCUACGGGUAGCAGCAGCUAGGAAUAUUGAGCAAUGGGCGAAAGCCUGACCCAGCAACACCGCGUGAAGGACGAAGGCCUUCGGGUUGUAAACUUCUUUUCGAGGGAAAGAGAAAGGACGGUACCCUCGGAAUAAGGCCCGGCUAACUACGUGCCAGCAGCCGCGGUAAUACGUAGGGGCCAAGCGUUAUCCGGAUUUACUGGGCGUAAAGCGCAUGUAGGCGGUCGAUCAAGUCGGAUGUGAAAGCUCCUGGCUUAACUGGGAGAGGUCAUUCGAAACUAGUCGGCUGGAGGGUGGUAGAGGAGAGCGGAAUUCCAGGUGUAGCGGUGAAAUGCGUAGAUAUCUGGAGGAACACCAGUGGCGAAAGCGGCUCUCUGGACCAUUCCUGACGCUGAGAUGCGAAAGCCAGGGGAGAGAACGGGAUUAGAAACCCCGGUAUUCCUGGCCGUAAACGAUGUCAACUAGGCGUAGGAGGUUAUAAACCCCUUCUGUGCUGUAGCAAACGCGUUAAGUUGACCGCCUGGGGACUACGGCCGCAAGGCUAAAACUCAAAGGAAUAGACGGGGACCCGCACAAGCGGUGGAGCAUGUGGUUUAAUUCGACGAUAAGCGAGGAACCUCACCAAGGUUUGACAUCUAGCUGCAGACUCCUGGAAACAGGAGAGCCUUCGAGGGUGCUAGACAGAUGCUGCAUGGUUGUCGUCAGCUCGUGUCGUGAGAUGUACCGUUAAGUCGGAAAACGAGCGCAACCCUUAUUCUAUGUUUCAUGUGUCAUAGAAAACUGCCUGCGUUAAGCAGGAGGAAGGUGGGGAUGACGUCAAAUCAGCAUGGUUCUUACACCUUGGGCGACACACGUGCUACAAUGGGUAAUACAAAGGGACGCCAAACCGUAAGGUGGAGCAAAUCCCCCAAAAUUACUCUCAGUUCGGAUUGAGGUCUGCAACUCGACCUCAUGAAGCCGGAAUCGCUAGUAAACGCGUAUCAGCCACGGCGCGUUGAAUACGUUCUCGGGUCU
rnacentral:rRNA from 1 species